AACGCGAAGAACCUUACCAGGUCUUGACAUCCCUCUGACCGGUCGGUAACGGGACCUUUCCUUCGGGACAGGGGAGACAGGUGGUGCAUGGUUGUCGUCAGCUCGUGUCGUGAGAUGUUGGGUUAAGUCCCGCAACGAGCGCAACCCCUAUUUCCAGUAGCCAGCAGUCCGGCUGGGCACUCUGGAGAGACUGCCCGGGAUAACCGGGAGGAAGGCGGGGAUGACGUCAAAUCAUCAUGCCCCUUACGAUCUGGGCUACACACGUGCUACAAUGGCGGUGACAAAGGGAAGCGAACCCGUGAGGGGGAGCGAACCCCAGAAAAGCCGUCUCAGUUCGGAUUGUAGUCUGCAACUCGACUACAUGAAGCUGGAAUCGCUAGUAAUCGCGGAUCAGAAUGCCG
rnacentral:rRNA from 1 species